rnacentral:rRNA from 1 species
UACGUAGGGUGCAAGCGUUGUCCGGAAUUAUUGGGCGUAAAGAGCUCGUAGGCGGUUUGUCGCGUCUGCUGUGAAAACUCGGGGCUUAACCCCGGGCCUGCAGUGGGUACGGGCAGACUAGAGUGCGGUAGGGGAGACUGGAAUUCCUGGUGUAGCGGUGAAAUGCGCAGAUAUCAGGAGGAACACCGGUGGCGAAGGCGGGUCUCUGGGCCGAUACUGACGCUGAGGAGCGAAAGCCAGGGGAGCAAACGGG